AGGCGUCGGGGGCAGCACUGGUGCUCCGCCGGCGCCGCCUGAAGUGGACAUCGGUGGGGAAGGGCUCACCGAACUCAUUCACUCGGGCAGCUUGAAGAAGUGGACCAGCAAUUGAAGAAUCCCGUGUGGCACUUCUUAUAGCAGUUGUUUUCUUCUGCAUUUCUCAGAUAAGAGGCAAUUCAAGCAACUUUUGUUCAGGAUUAGAUUUGUGUUGUGCACUUUUCAGGCACCCUGAGGGAAAAGGAAGAUUAUAUCCUUAUCUGAGUUUGUUUUACAGUGUGAAAGGUCUCUGUAAAAAUUUAAGACAUCCUUUAGAGCUAAAUGUAAUUAAGCGUUGUCUUCUACCCCUUCCUCAAAUCAAAAACCCCAGGCUUGAUUUAAAAGGCUUUUAAACCUUUUAAGCAUAUAAGCAAGGCAAAAGAGAAGUCUGGAAGUUCAAUUUGCACUUCCAUAGAAGAUUUCAAAGUUCUUUACAUUCUUCGCUCAGCUUUGGGACAAGGCACAGAAAUGCUGGUAUUUUCUGUAGAAAGGGAAAAUUUUAAAAUAAAAAUCAAUUCAGAAUCCAGUUCUGGGCAAAAUGGCA